GGGGAGCGCGAGCGCGGGACCAGCGCGGGACGAGCGCGGGUUCAAUUAGCGAAACAAAGCAAUCAUGGCGGAGCGAGCACACCGGGCUGCGCGCCCCUAGGACUCGGCGACCGCCCCGCGCCCUGGCCGAUAUACUUGGGGGAGUUUCAUCAGUCGAAGUUGGAUAAUUGAUUGCACUGAUACCAGAACUGAAAUAAGACAUUAAAGCAAGACACUUGAGACUAUUGCCCUCCCGAAAACAUCUAGCUGCCACUCAAGAAUGGGACCUUUAAGG